rnacentral:rRNA from 1 species
CCUGAGAAACCCAAAAGAUCGAAUGGGGAGAUUCACCGUCAGCGGCUUUGGCUUCCGUGCGGUACGCGAUGGCGGGGACCUCGGUCUCGCGUCACGCUGCCGCUGCGGCAUGUCCGGAGUCGUCGGCGUGCACUUCUCCCCUAGUAGGACGUCGCGACCCGUUGGGUGUCGGAUCGAUGGCCGGUCGGUCGUCUGUUGCGCUCGCGCUUCAGACCGAUUCGGUCGAAAGUCCGGCUGCCCGGCGGUAUUGAACGAUAUGAACUGGUAUCGGGCCGCACUCGAAUGCGUUCAGGCUCGUCGGCAGGCUCGUCUCGCUCGGAUUUACGGACCUAGCGCCGUUGCCGGGUGCUUGGCGUGGCUGUUAGUCGACGAUGUCCUCGGACUGGCUCUUACCCGUCGGCGACGCUACUGCUUUGGGUACUUUC